GGCGAUGACGACAAUUUCGCUAGCUGAAGUCACGCUCCAUGUGGCAGGAUGAUGAGUACCCUCGCAGCUGAGC
rnacentral:snoRNA from 1 species